UGGGGAAUAUUGCACAAUGGACGGAAGUCUGAUGCAGCAACGCCGCGUUCGGGAUGACGGCCUUCGGGUUGUAAACCGCUUUUUCUCAUGACGAAGUUUUUUGACGGUUGUGGGGGAAGAAGCACCGGCUAACUACGUGCCAGCAGUCGCGGUGAUAUGUAGGGUGCGAGCGUUGUUCGGAAUUAUUGGGCGUAAAGAGCUUGUAGGCGGUUUGUCGCGUCGAUAGUGCAAACUCAGUGCUUAACGCUGAGCCUGCUGUUGAUACGGGCGGACUAGAGGGAGGUAGGGGAGAAUGGGAUUCCCGGUGGAGAGGUGGAAUGCGCAGAUAUCGGGAGUAACACCGGUGGCGAAAACGGUUCUCUGUGCCUUUACUAACGCUAAGAAGCGAAAGCGUGGGGAGCGAACAGG
rnacentral:rRNA from 1 species